AGUUUGCCGUUCACCCGGAGCGCUCGGGACUUGCCGAUAGUGGUGACGGCGGCAACAUGUCUGUGGCUUUCGCGGCCCCGAGGCAGCGAGGCAAGGGGGAGAUCACUCCCGCUGCGAUUCAGAAGAUGUUGGAUGACAAUAACCAUCUUAUUCAGUGUAUAAUGGACUCUCAGAAUAAAGGAAAGACCUCAGAGUGUUCUCAGGUGAGUCCAAACUAUUCCAGAGUUGCAUAAAUUUCAAACAACAAAAAAAAUUAGUGUCGAUCAUUCAUCGUAAUUUAAAAGAGUUGUUUAAAUCUGUAGUUUGGAAGAUAACUUUUAUUCUAUAAAGUGCAUUCCCGUUGUCUAAUAAAUAUUCAUAGCUUCUAGGGUCAUGAAUAAACCACAUCUGUUAGUAUGGUUUGGUCAGUGGUCCUCAGAAAAUCUCAUGUCGUGCAACCAUACUAAUACUCAAGCAAAGGAAAACUUGAAGGCCUAGACUGAAACAGGUAUCAGCAGAUGUUGCACACAAACUUGGUAUACCUUGCUACAAUAGCAGAUUCUAAU
rnacentral:lncRNA from 1 species